CCUUUUCCUAACGCACUAAACUACUCAUAUUAAAAAAGAAUUAUAAAAUCAUAUGAAUUCCCUCGAUUCAAAGCUAAAGCAAUUCUCCUCUUCCCUCUCCAAAGCCUCGAAAAAAAUUCAUGCCGUCUCUUUUGUCUCGCAACAUAGUCAAAAUGCGGUCCUAUCUGACGUCAGAACCGAUCUUGAGAAAGCUCAGCAAAUCAUAAACGACAUAAGGGCUAUCGCUGUCACCGACGAGAACCAUACCCAAGAAUAUCUAGCACUCGUCAAACAAAAAGAACAAGAACUUAAUGAAGUAAAAUCACAUAUCAACUCCUUUUACACACAGCAAUCUCAGCCUGAACAUCUAUCUGUAAACCUGCCUUUUAACCACUCAGCCUCUGAACGCGAUGAAAAAAAUAUCGGGGUAGAAAUAGAUGCUAGUCAUGCAAGACUUCUAGCUGUCCAAGAAAAUUUGGAAUAUAUCAACUCACUUGCCAAUGAAUCUCACGAUAUUGGCUCGAACACAUUAGAAAGCCUCCAGAUGCAAAGAGAACGCCUCCUAAAUGCGAAUCAGGGCCUCGACCGUAUCGAAAGCCAUACUACACAAUCAACCUCUGCUCUGCACCUCAUGAAAAGACGUGUUAUGACAAAAAAAAUAAUCCUAUUCUUCAUCAUCUUUUUACUUAUCUUCGCAAAUAUUAUGGUCAUCGUCGUCAGAUGGAUCAUCCCUCUUUUUAAAAAAAAAUAAACAUCCUUCCGCUCCCCUCUCUACAUAUGUCCUUCUGCCUUCAAAUAAA